CUUAGACACCCCAGCAGGUGACGCUGUUGAAAGGAAAAUAGCUCAGACCCCCAGCAGGUGGCGCUGUUGAGAGGACCAUAACUCAGACUCCCCCAGCAGGUGGCGCUAUUGAAAGCGACAUAGCACAGAUCCCCCUAGGUGGCACUGUU